rnacentral:rRNA from 1 species
GAUGAACGCUGGCGGCGUGCCUAAUACAUGCAAGUCGAGCGAACAGACGAGGAGCUUGCUCCUCUGACGUUAGCGGCGGACGGGUGAGUAACACGUGGAUAACCUACCUAUAAGACUGGGAUAACUUCGGGAAACCGGAGCUAAUACCGGAUAACAUGUUGAACCGCAUGGUUCAACAGUGAAAGACGGUCUUGCUGUCACUUAUAGAUGGAUCCGCGCCGUAUUAGCUAGUUGGUAAGGUAACGGCUUACCAAGGCAACGAUGCGUAGCCGACCUGAGAGGGUGAUCGGCCACACUGGAACUGAGACACGGUCCAGACUCCUACGGGAGGCAGCAGUAGGGAAUCUUCCGCAAUGGGCGAAAGCCUGACGGAGCAACGCCGCGUGAGUGAUGAAGGUCUUCGGAUCGUAAAACUCUGUUAUUAGGGAAGAACAAAUGUGUAAGUAACUAUGCACGUCUUGACGGUACCUAAUCAGAAAGCCACGGCUAACUACGUG